CCGAGUUUACAACUCCCAAACCCCUGUGAACAUACCUAUAUGUUGCCUCGGCGGAUCAGCCCGCGCCCCGUAAAACGGGACGGCCCGCCGCAGGAUCCACAAACUCUGUUUUUAUGUAACUUCUGAGUAACAAAACAAAUAAAUCA
rnacentral:misc_RNA from 1 species